rnacentral:rRNA from 1 species
GAGUUUGAUCAUGGCUCAGAAUGAACGCUGGCGGCGUGCCUAACACAGCAAGUCGCGCGAGAAAGUGGCUUCGGCCACGAGUACAGCGGCGGACGGGUGAGUAACACGUGGACGACCUGCCUGAGAGUGGGGAAUAACUCGGGGAAACCUGAGCUAAUACCGCAUACGCUCCCACGCCUGCGGGUGUGGGAGGAAAGGUGGCCUCUGCUUGCAAGCUACCGCUCCCAGAGGGGUCCGCGGCUGAUUAGCUAGUUGGUGAGGUAACGGCUCACCAAGGCGACGAUCAGUAGCCGGCCUGAGAGGGCGAUCGGCCACACUGGAACUGAGACACGGUCCAGACUCCUACGGGAGGCAGCAGUGGGGGAUAUUGGACAAUGGGCGAAAGCCUGAUCCAGCGACGCCGCGUGGGGGAUGAAGGCCUUCGGGUUGUAAACUCCUGUCAGUGGGGACGAAAAGGCUUCGGCGAACAACCGGAGCCGCUGACGGUACCCGCAGAGGAAGCCCCGGCUAACUCCGUGCCAGCAGCCGCGGUAAUAC